UGUCUUUCAAGCUCCCCAUGAGCCUUUGCAAAGUCUAUUUUCCUUCCUGUCUUACCUGGAAGUUAGGACUGUAGUAGGUACCAUAAAGUUGCUCCCCAGGCAUGAGUUAAAACACAGAAGAUACUUAGGAAAGUGCAUGGCAACUCUGAUGGUUAUUGUUUCCUCAUUUGUCAGCUUUCUUAGUCUCAGCGCCCCCCCUCCCCCUCAGAUCAAAUGUGCAGCCGAUGGCAACAUUAGAAGCCUGUCUUGUUACAAACAUUAUAGGAGGGAAUGUCAGCUAUUGUGGGGAGUGUUUGGCAUCAACUAGGCUCAAAUGUCACCAGUGCUCCAUGGAGGACCAUUGCUCUGCUGCCCAGGUGUGAUUCCCAACCUGCCCCACCUUCCUCCGGCUAGUGGUCUCCUUGGGAGAUGGCUUCACACAGGCUGAGUAGCACAGGGCAGAGGUGUCUAUGAUGGUGGGACUAGGGGCAGGGAGGUUGCCCAAUUUUUUAAAAACUAUAGCAUACAUGGAUAGAUAUAAGGCUCGUUUUGACAUGACCAGUUAAUCUUGGAUGAGUGUUUGCAGACAAAACACAGGACACCUACUUGUUCUUGAACUCUAAAGAAACAGUACUUUAUUCAAAGAAAAUAAAGAGCUUAGACUACUGAAGACUCAGAGGGCUGCUGGUGUGAUAAGGAUUGCUGCGACAGCUCCAAGACCUCUCCUGGAGCUUGCCCUGUCAUACUCUUAAGAGCUCUGGGUUGGUCCUAUUUAGUUUCCUUCCGGAUUAUGUUACCCGUCUAAAGGUGCCAGCGACUGGCAAAGCCGAACCAGAGAAAGGCGUGUUACUGCUCUGGGACUGACCUCUCCUCACAAACCACCAUGCAAGGCACCGGGAGCCAUGUCUCCAGCAGUAGCAUCUAUCAGCGGCCCAGUCAGUAGAACUC
rnacentral:lncRNA from 1 species